rnacentral:rRNA from 1 species
GACUGAGGGUGCAAACGUUGUUCGGAAUUACUGGGCGUAAAGCGCGUGUAGGCUGCUCGGAAAGUCGGAUGUGAAAGCCCUGGGCUCAACCUAGGAAGUGCAUUCGAAACUUCCGAGCUGGAGUGCUGGAGAGGAAGGCGGAAUUCUCGGUGUAGAGGUGAAAUUCGUAGAUAUCGAGAGGAACACCGGUGGCGAAGGCGGCCUUCUGGACAGCGACUGACGCUGAGGCACGAAAGCGUGGGGAGCAAACAGG